rnacentral:rRNA from 1 species
UACGUAGGGUGCAAGCGUUAAUCGGAAUUACUGGGCGUAAAGCGUGCGCAGGCGGUUGUGUAAGACAGAUGUGAAAUCCCCGGGCUCAACCUGGGAACUGCAUUUGUGACUGCACAGCUGGAGUGCGGCAGAGGGGGAUGGAAUUCCGCGUGUAGCAGUGAAAUGCGUAGAUAUGCGGAGGAACACCGAUGGCGAAGGCAAUUCCCUGGGCCUGCACUGACGCUCAUGCACGAAAGCGUGGGGAGCAAACAGG